rnacentral:lncRNA from 1 species
GUAGUCCAACAACGAAAGAGCCCUGAAGCUCAAGCGGAGCCCGCUGGCCGCAGGGGCCGCACCACGCCCCAGACCCUGGAGUUUCCGGGUGCGCAGACCCUUGCCAUCAGCAGAGGCUGCCGCUGCGCGUCCCCUAGGCGCGGAAGAGGCGGCUGGUGGUCCCUGACGGCAAGGUGAAGUCGAGGCAGUAAUCGGGAACCCAGGUUUUAUACAUUACGAAUAAAGCUGGCACGUUUCCAUUUCUCCUGGGCAAAUAUUUAGAAGAAAAGUUGCUGGGUAAUUGGUGGAGACAAGGUUUCGCCACAUUGACUGGGCUGGUCUGGAACUCCUGAGCUCAAGCAACCGGCCCUCCUUGACCUCCCAAAGUGCUAGGAUUACAGGUGUGAACCACCGUGCCCGGCCCUACUUUCUAUCGAAGUAGAAUAGAAGCACUGAGACCACAGAGGCAAGAGCUGGGGAAGGAAAACUGCCCAUGAGAUGAGAUGUGCCUCUCAGCUUCCAAAAUCGGGGAGGGUUGCAAAGGGAUGACACCAUCCACACCAGAACUGCAUGAAUGGCAUCAGGAAUGAUCAGAGACCAUAAAUUCCAGUGAGACCAAUAACACCAUUUCUGGUCCUGCAUGCUCUUCCAAACUUUGCCACUAACCCCUUCAAGAGGCUAGGUUAGAAAAGGCAACAGAACUUCAUCCUAAUCUCUCUCAAGAUGCCCCCCAUGGAAUCCAGCCAUCAUGCUGUGAGGAAUCCAAGCAGCUACAUAGAAAGGCCACAACUAGAUAUUCCAGCUGUAGUCAGCUGAAGCUCCAGCCAACAGCCAACAUCAACCACCACACGUGAAAACGAGCAAGCCUUCAGAUGAUUCCGACUCCCAACCUCCAAGCCACCUCAGCUGAAGCCAAGUAGAGCAGAGACUAGCUGUCCCCCAAUGCUCUAAUAUGCAGAUUCAUAAUUAAAAAGAAUGUUAUUGUUCUAAGCCAUGAAGUUUUGGGGUGGUUUGUCAUGCAGCAACUGGAACUGCC